rnacentral:lncRNA from 1 species
GAGUCACAUAUUCUAAGAAAUAGACUGUACUCUCCUCAAAUCGAAAUAACGGCACUUUAAUUCUUGGAUUUUCCACAUUUUCGUUGGUAAAGCUCCUAUUUGCUUUCUCUGAAUCUGUAUCAGUUCAUGCAGUUCUGCCAAGUGGGGAAGCUUUGCAGGACACUGCCACUGUAGCACUUGAAAUAUUAAGAUGAACAGAACAAGCAAAAGGUGGGAAAACUGGAAAGAUUGAAUGUCCUUUGGAGUUCACAGAGGUUUGGCAGUGGGAGGAGAAAAACAAAACGAAGCAUAGUGGGAGUGUUGAACAGACUUUCCCAAGAUCCCCAGGAAAAGCAAAGCUACUACAAGAACUCACUACAUCAAUGCGUGUUCAUUAUUGAGAACAUCCUAGGAGAGCGUGCAUCAUCACAGGCUGCUCUGAGGUCUGUGCCCAAUCAAGCAAAGAACAACGGGGAUAAUCACACUGUGCAGAGGGUGACCAAUUUAGAAAAAAAGGACCCUUAAGAAGGUCUUCCAACUUCCUUAAAUGACUUUCAUUAAUUUUACACCUUUUGCCAAUUAAUUGCACUUAUGAGCCUUCCUUGUCAAUUACUGCAUUCUCAUUUUCGGCAAUUGAACUAAUCUUGGCCUAUUCAUAUUUUGUUUUUUAAAUAGGUAUUUCCAAUUAUUGAUAUAGAUCUUUAUAAUUACAUUACAAAUGUUUCACCAUAUUUAUUCAUUCUUUAUAGAGACAAAAUAAAGGUUCUAUCAUCUACACUUAAAA